AUUGAACGCUGGCGGCAGGCUUAACACAUGCAAGUCGAGCGAGCGGCGGACGGGUGAGUAAUGUCUGGGAAACUGCCUGAUGGAGGGGGAUAACUACUGGAAACGGUAGCUAAUACCGCAUACCAUCAGAUGUGCCCAGAUGGGAUUAGCUAGUAGGUGGGGUAAUGGAUCACCUAGGCGACGAUCCCUAGCUGGUCUGAGAGGAUGACCAGCCACACUGGAACUUAGACACGGGCCAGAUGCCAACGGGGGGCAGCAGUGGGGAAUAUUGCACAAUGGGCGCAAGCCUGAUGCAGCCAUGCCGCGUGUGUGAAGAAGGCCUUCGGGUUGUAAAGCACUUUCAGCGAGGAGGCGUUACUCGUAGAAGAAGCACCGGCUAACUCCAUGCCAGCCGCCGCGGUAAAAC
rnacentral:rRNA from 1 species